rnacentral:rRNA from 1 species
CCUACGGGCGGCAGCAGUGAGGAAUAUUGGUCAAUGGACGAGAGUCUGAACCAGCCAAGUAGCGUGAAGGAUGACUGCCCUAUGGGUUGUAAACUUCUUUUAUAUGGGAAUAAAAUGUUACACGUGUGGGAUUUUGUAUGUACCAUAUGACUAAGGAUCGGCUAACUCCGUGCCAGCAGCCGCGGUAAUACGGAGGAUCCGAGCGUUAUCCGGAUUUAUUGGGUUUAAAGGGAGCGUAGGUGGAUUGUUAAGUCAGUUGUGAAAGUUUGCGGCUCAACCGGAAAAUUGCAGUUGAAGCUGGCAGUCUUGAGUACAGUAGAGGUGGGCGGAAUUCGUGGUGUAGCGGUGAAAUGCUUAGAUAUCACGAAGAACUCCGAUUGCGAAGGCAGUUCACUGGACUGCAACUGACACUGAGGCUCGAAAGUGUGGGUAUCAAACAGGAUUAGAUACCCGGGUAGUC